UUUCUUAGAUAAUUCUGGGAAGUACUUUCUAGAACACUAAAUUUACUGUUCCAGAAAGAACUUUCCCAAAUUAUGUAAAAUA
rnacentral:miRNA from 1 species